rnacentral:tRNA from 1 species
UCCCUGGAGGUCCAGUGGUUAAGACUCCUCACUCUUAAUGUGGAGGAUACAGGUUCGAUCCCUGGUUGGGGAA